rnacentral:rRNA from 1 species
AUUGAACGCUGGCGGCAUGCCUUACACAUGCAAGUCGAACGGCAGCGCGGGAGCAAUCCUGGCGGCGAGUGGCGAACGGGUGAGUAAUAUAUCGGAACGUGCCCAGUAGUGAGGGAUAGCCCGGCGAAAGCCGGAUUAAUACCGCAUACGACCUGAGGGUGAAAGCGGGGGAUCGCAAGACCUCGCGCUAUUGGAGCGGCCGAUAUCAGAUUAGCUAGUUGGUGGGGUAAAGGCCUACCAAGGCAACGAUCUGUAGUUGGUCUGAGAGGACGACCAGCCACACUGGGACUGAGACACGGCCCAGACUCCUACGGGAGGCAGCAGUGGGGAAUUUUGGACAAUGGGCGCAAGCCUGAUCCAGCAAUGCCGCGUGCAGGAAGAAGGCC